UACGUAGGGGGCUAGCGUUGUCCGGAAUCAUUGGGCGUAAAGCGCGUGUAGGCGGCCCGAUAAGUCCGCUGUGAAAGUCCAGGGCUCAACCCUGGGAUGCCGGUGGAUACUGUCGGGCUCGAGUCCGGAAGAGGCGAGUGGAAUUCCUGGUGUAGCGGUGAAAUGCGCAGAUACCAGGAGGAACACCAAUGGCGAAGGCAGCUCGCUGGGACGUGACUGACGCUGAGACGCGAAAGCGUGGGGAGCAAACAGG
rnacentral:rRNA from 1 species